rnacentral:rRNA from 1 species
UACGGGGGGGGCAAGCGUUGUUCGGAAUUACUGGGCGUAAAGGGCGCGUAGGCGGUUGGUUAAGUCAGCUGUGAAAACCACGGGCUUAACUCGUGGACUGCAGUUGAGACUGUCUGGCUUGAGUGUGGGAGAGGAGAGUGGAAUUCCUGGUGUAGCGGUGAAAUGCGUAGAUAUCAAGCAGAACACCUGCGGCGAAGGCGGCCUGCUGGACGAUGACUGACGCUGAGACGCGAAAGCGUGGGGAGCAAACAGG